rnacentral:rRNA from 1 species
UACGUAGGCAGCGAGCGUUGUUCGGAAUUACUGGGCGUAAAGAGUGUGUAGGCGGUGCUCUAAGUUCGGUGUGAAAUCUCCUGGCUCAACUGGGAGGGUGCGCCGGAAACUGGAGUGCUUGAGCGUGGGAGAGGAAAGCGGAAUUCCUGGUGUAGCGGUGAAAUGCGUAGAUAUCAGGAGGAACACCUGUGGUGUAGACGGCUUUCUGGACCAUAGCUGACGCUGAGACACGAGAGCGUGGGUAGCAAACAGG